CGAAGGUCGACUAAGGCAACGUACGCCGCACGACGGGUUGUGUUUGGGACCCGGCCGUUACCAUCGUGACGCUCCGAUUGCGCUUACGGUCAAGAAUGGACGAGUGAAGAAAAUCUGCACCAGGCCUGCCGUCGAGGAGAUUUUCUUGCUCUACAAACGAUACACUUGGGGCAAGGCCCAGUGGCAAGUUGGUUAAUUUUAAAUAGAUGUAUAUAUUAUUCCAACCCUCAGCUAAGCGCUACUUGCUCAUGUGUGGUAGCUGGAACCUCGCUCAACCACAGUACCACGCGUCCAUUCUGAUUUCUUUACUUGAGGGAAGUUUACGUGGUUAAAAUUGUGAUGCGUACUGAUAGAAUAUCAUAAAAUUCAACAACUGCACUUUAUUCCUGCUAUUUGGUGUAUUGUUACUAAGCUACUGCUGCUAGGCUUGGCUAAUCUUGUGUUGUUACGGUGCAACAACUGGGGAAUGGACAAAAUGGAGUUUCGGUUUUUGGCUUAUCUUAGACUAAGCUUCUUUUUUUACAAAAAUUAAAAUACAGUUAAAUAAUUUACUUGUUGCAACUAAUAAGGGUGCUUAUCAGGGAAUGCAAUAAGCUGUCCACUUGCUUAACACAAUGCGCCGAACGAGAUGGUAACAGUGUAAGCAAUCAACGACUUUUUGUUGUUAUCUUCAAUUGUGCCUUGUUGUAAACAAAUGGACGAUUGUCUUACAGGGCAUCCCGAACAUUUUUGACGCUUUCCCAUGAUUUCUUGGUGGUGUCCCAAAUAUUCGUGGUUUCGUCCCGAGGGUUUUUAUUAAGGUUUCCCAGAUGACUUUAUAAAGUUGAAUAAAAAAUCAGAAAGGAUGUUAAAUGAUUUAUUGAGCCUACAUAGGAGCAUUGGGGCGGUCAGGUGGCCGAGGUGACAGCCAUCCGAACCGCAUUCCGCCGUACGCAGGAUUUGACUGCCCGGCUACGGGUGGAAUCAAGUCACAGAACGCCAGAUAAGGGCGGACCGAGACCUCUCGAGUUUAUAGUGCCAAGAAAGACGAAGAAGAAGAAAUAGGAGCAUUUUUUGCCUAGAUGUUCAUUUGAACUUAAGUAACAUGUAAGAAUGUUCUGCUUGACGGAAACAUAUUAAUAGUGUUAGCAUCUUCUUUUUCUUGGGCUCUGGGCAGGCAGCCCAGUCCUGCCGUGUGAAGACCGGUUCCGUUAUCGCCUAGGCCCCAAUAAUUGAGUCCUGAAUAAGUUAGAAAAGGCAGGCAUGAUCUAUAAGAGGUCGUUAGGCCAAAGAAGAAGAACAAAAAUAGGAACAAGUGUAAUUUUAUUCAUGUCAACUUGCCUUGUCAUGAAUAUCAUUUUUGUUCAUCUCCACAAAUUUUUUAUCUGUUGUAAAAUAAAAGCAGGUGUGUCGAAUAAUAUUGAUACUAGUUCAAAAAUAUAAAUUAAAAAAUUAACGGAAAAAGCGUCUCCGGGACAAAACCGAAAAACUUUUAGGAAAUUGUCAAACAACAUUGGGAAACCCUGUAUGAUCUGGAAAGCACUGUAAAACACUAUUAUAAAUCAACAUAUUUUCCAAAA